UCACACACAAUACACACAACAACGGCACACACACACACACGCCUGCAUGUGCGCCACUUAACUCCUCUCAUGCACGUUUUCUGCUGUCAGGAGUGUUUUUGGUGUCUUUUUCUUGUGUCAAGAAAACGUCAGCUUUUCGAUAAAUAGACAAAUAAAUGGUGCUGCGGAAACGUCCCGACAUAUUGCUUGCAUACAUUUAUUUUCCGCUCUUGCGAUCAGUUUCCCACAUCGACAGGCUGAGAUUGCAUCCCACCAGAACCAACUGCAAUCCGGACUCCUCAAAGUUCUUCAUGAUGACGAUGAACCAGAGCGAAGCUGUUAAACCCCACAGAGACGGAGCUGACGGUGGAUUGUUGGAGGGCGGACAGGGAGGUGAGGACGGUGGUCUGCAGGUGAGAAAUCAGCACGUUGUGAAUCAGGGGAGCUGAAGGAGGAGCGACGAGGAGACUGAGCUGAAGGGACUGGGAGAGGCUCAUAAUUUAUCAUUUUUAAAAAUUUGCUCAAAAAAUUCACAUGGCAAAUGAGAAAUGAUUACCUGACAUCUGCCACUGGCAGAGCCGCUCCCUUUAAGCUCCUCCCGAUGGCUCUUGACGCGCUACAGCUGUGGGAACACACCUGCCGGUCACACCCCGCGAAGAAGGAGGCAGAAACAACCCACACACACCCACAGUAACCAGACACCCAGGUUAGUAGAUAAUAGUUUUACUGAUUUGUACUGUAGGGUUUGUCAGACUGCAUUAGAGCGAGUUUGGUGAAAUGAAAUGACCUGGAUUGCAUGCACUUUAGUGUAAACCGCUGCUGUAAAACUUAACACAAUUGAAUCAAAUUGAAUCAACUCUCAGAGGUCCGUUGACUUAUUUUUCUGGAUUUGCGUUUGGUGAAUUUUAUAUUUCCCUGGUUUGGCUGUGUUUAUGCAAAUUGCAUAAAAUUUGGCCAGGUAGAUUGUUCUGGGGGGAAUCGUCACUCUUCUUUGUUGUUUCUCUAAUAUGGCUUCCAAACUCAAUAGGACAAUCUGAGUCUCUUCAGCCAAUUUUUGUGUCAUUUAAAACAUGCUGUCAUUACAAUGUGUUGUGUUUUUCCUAAUUCUCUGGUGUUGAGAUCCUUCCAAACUUUUAAAUUGUUUUCCACCAGGUGAAAACAAGUUUUAAACUGUAGAUCUAAAAAAA